ACCCGCUGAAUUUAAGCAUAUAAGUAGGCGGUGAGUGAGACACCAACUGGGAUUCCCUUAGCAAUGGCGAAUGCAGAGGGUUGGGCUCGUUAUUGAAGUUGGGGCACUUGCCCCUGAAAUGUAAUCCUGGGGUGUGCGACCAACCGAGGUGUGGUUAUAGGCUUGUGGGAACAUGUGUUGAUGAGGGUGAUAACCCUGUGUGUCAUCUGCAGCCCUCAGUGCAUGGCGCACAGCUCACGAGUCACAUCCCUUUGGACUGGUGUGUGAAGCAGGUGGUAACAUUCAUCUGAAGCUGAAUAUUUGUCCGAAACCAAUAGUAAACAAGUACCUUGAGGGAAAGGUGAAACAGGACUUUGAAAAGAGAGCUAAACAUGCCUGAAUUUGCCGAGCAGGACAUGAGGGAAACCAGCGUAGCUUGGUAAACUUACUGUGUGUGGUCCUGCUUGCCUGCAUUGUUUACAUUGGUGCGUAUGCAGGACAUAAGCUGAAUGUACACAGUGUGCUUUGCCUUGUCAAUCAGGGUCAGCACAUUGCCUAAAGGUAAUUUCAGUUGCUUGGUAACCUACCCUUUGGUGGGGAAUGCGCCUGUCUCUGCAUGUGCAUGUGCUUCUUGGUGGCUAUGCGGUGCCAUUCGCCCCGUCUUGAAACACGGAUCAAGGAGUCUAAUGUGCGUGCGAGCUCAUGGGUUGUAAGACCUGCUAGCACAAUGAAGAUUGUUGGUUGGGAUUAGUGCAUCGACAACUGACCGUUCAACUGUGAGAGACCCGAGUAUGAGCAUGUCUGUUAGGACCCGAAAGAUGGUGAACUAUGCCUGUGAAGGGUAAGCUCAGGGGAAACUCUGAUGGAGGCCUGCAGUGAUACUGACGUGCAAAUCGUUCGUUGUACAUGGGCAUAGGGGUGAAAGGCUAAUCGAAUCAUCUAGUAGCUGGUUCCCUCUGAAGUUUCCCUCAGGAUAGCUGGAGCUGGACAACUUUACCAUGUAAAGCCAAUGAUUAAAGGAAUUGGGGGUCUGUUGCCCUUGACCUAUUCUCAAACUCUAAAUGGGUAAAGCACAGUUGCUACAUGUGUGAGUUUCAGUGGCAAGUGGCAGCUCUAAGUGGGCCAUUCUUGGUAAGCAGAACUGGCGAAGAGGGAUGAACCUAAUGCUGGGCAAAGGUGCCUCCCUGCUCACUCAUCAGAUACCAUGAAGGGUGUUGGUUCAUCUUAACAGCAGGACGGUGGUCAUGGAAGUUGAAAUCCGCUAAGGAGUGUGUAAUAACUCACCUGCCGAACGGACUAGCCCCAAAAAUGGAUAGCGCUCAAGUGGGUGACUGAUAGCCAGCCAAUUCUGUGAUGAUGUUGCAUCGAUGAAUAGGAGGGCAUGGGGCCUUGUGCUGAAGUUUAAGGUGUAAGUCUGGGUGAAGCAGCCCUGGGUGCAGAUCUUGGUGGUAGUAGC
rnacentral:rRNA from 1 species